CUGCCCGGUGCCCAUGCGCACGCGGCCACACAGCCCACACCCCCGGGCCCAGAUUAUCAGCACAGGCCACAGACAGCACACAGCACUCACGUGACCACGCCUCACUCAUCUGAAUCUUUUGAUCUUUCUCAAUUCUCUGCGUUCUCCCUUCCCAGUUCCCGUUCACUUUCGUUUAAGGUUUCAUACUUUCAUUUUUCGUCGCCGUCGUCGAUUGUCGCCCAUCGCUCGCUCGUGGAGCCUUGCGAGUCUGUGACAACCCUCGCCUUGCGGUGUUGCCGUACCUUCGCCAGUUCGUUGUUCGCCCAUCGCUCUCUCGCUCGAGUCGCUCGUUGUUACAGUGUAACAGAGUUGGAUCAUUUUGGGUUUAGCUUGGGUUUUGCGAAAGAGUUGGAUCAUUUUGGGUUCUGUUCAUCUACAUCAUAGACGUUUUGUCCAGCUUAAGUAGGGUUUGUAAUAUAAUUUUUGCAUUUUAGGGCUGCGGUUUGCUAAACCCUAGAUUGUCUUGAUUUAGGGUUUUCUUACUGCCGUUUAGACUUAAAUAUGGCGCAUCUGGGAGGUGGCGCGGAGGCGCAUGCGCGGUUCAAGCAGUACGAGUACCGAGCCAACUCCAGUUUGGUUCUGACCACCGACUCUAGACCACGUGACACUCACGAGCCCACCGGCGAGCCUGAGUCCCUUUACGGCAAGAUAGACCCUAAAAGCUUUGGUGAUCGGGCUUACAGGGGAAGACCUCCGGAGUUGGAUGAGAAGCUUAAGAAAUCGAAGAAGAAGAAAGAGCGGGACCCCCUCGUGGAACCUGUGCCGGGUCGGCAGAGCAAGAGACGACGUCUGCAAGAAGAAAGCGUCCUCACUGCCACUGAGGAUGGAGUUUACCAGCCUAAGACUAAGGAAACGAGGGCAGCUUAUGAAGCAAUGCUUAGUGUUAUUCAGCAGCAGUUGGGCGGUCAGCCCCUGAAUAUAGUCAGCGGUGCAGCGGAUGAAAUAUUGGCUGUUCUUAAGAAUGAUAAUUUUAAGAACCCUGAUAAGAAGAAGGAGAUUGAGAAAUUAUUGAACCCAAUACCAAACCUUGUUUUUGACCAGCUGGUUUCAAUCGGAAGGCUUAUUACAGAUUACCAGGAUGGGGCCGACGCUGCUGGGGCUGGUGGAACUAAUGCUGAUGAUGCUCUUGACGAUGACGUUGGUGUUGCAGUUGAGUUUGAGGAGAAUGAUGAGGAAGAAGACGAGAGUGAUCUUGACAUGGUACAGGAGGACGAAGAGGAUGAUGAUGAUGUUGCUGAACCGAAUGGGACUGGGGCCAUGCAGAUGGGUGGUGGAAUUGAUGAAGAUGAUAUGCAGGAAGCAAAUGAAGGCAUGACACUAAAUGUUCAGGACAUCGAUGCUUAUUGGCUUCAAAGAAAGAUCUCCCAAGCUUAUGAACAACAGAUCGAUCCUCAACAGUGCCAGAAACUUGCGGAAGAGGUGUUGAAAAUACUUGCUGAAGGUGAUGACAGAGAAGUUGAAACCAAACUGUUGGUGCAUCUUCAGUUUGAAAAGUUUAGCCUCAUUAAGUUUCUCUUGCGUAACCGUUUGAAGAUUGUGUGGUGCACCCGUUUGGCAAGGGCUGAAGAUCAAGAUGAAAGGAAGAAGAUUGAGGAAGAAAUGAUGGGGUUGGGCCCAGACCUUGCUGCAAUUCUGGAGCAGUUGCAUGCCACUAGAGCAACUGCUAAAGAGAGGCAAAAGAACUUAGAGAAGAGUAUAAGAGAAGAGGCUCGUCGGCUGAAGGAUGAGAGCGGUGGAGAUGGGGAGAGGGAUAGGAGGGGACUCAUUGAUAGAGAUGCAGAUGGUGGUUGGUUGAAGGGGCAGCGCCAGUUGCUUGAUCUUGACAGCAUUGCCUUCCACCAAGGUGGUCUUUUGAUGGCAAACAAAAAAUGUGAGCUUCCAUUGGGGUCAUAUAAAAAUCAUAGCAAGGGAUAUGAAGAAGUUCAUGUGCCGGCCUUGAAGCCAAAACCCAUUGGGCCAGGAGAAGAGCUUGUAAAGAUUUCUUCUAUGCCAGAUUGGGCUCAACCGGCUUUCAGUGGGAUGACACAGCUGAAUAGGGUGCAGAGCAAAGUUUAUGAAACUGCUCUUUUUACAGCAGAGAAUAUUCUUUUGUGCGCACCGACUGGUGCAGGAAAAACUAAUGUUGCAAUGCUUGCUAUACUCCAGCAGAUUGCAUUGCACAGAGAUGCUGAGGGUUCGUUCAACCACAGCAAUUAUAAGAUAGUCUAUGUCGCACCAAUGAAAGCUCUUGUUGCAGAAGUGGUUGGUAAUUUGUCUAAUCGCCUGCAGCAUUAUGGUGUCAAAGUUAAAGAGCUAAGUGGAGACCAGUCUUUGACGCGGCAACAAAUUGAUGAAACUCAGAUUAUUGUGACAACUCCUGAGAAGUGGGAUAUCAUAACAAGAAAAUCUGGAGAUCGCACCUACACACAGCUAGUUAAACUUUUAAUUAUUGAUGAAAUUCAUCUUCUUCAUGACAACAGAGGACCUGUGCUGGAAAGUAUAGUUGCUAGAACUGUUAGGCAAAUUGAAACCACAAAAGAGCAUAUUCGAUUGAUUGGAUUAUCUGCUACACUACCUAACUACGAAGAUGUGGCAUUGUUUCUUCGUGUUGAUCUAGGGAAAGGAUUGUUCCAUUUUGACAAUAGUUACAGACCAUGCCCUCUUGCUCAGCAGUAUAUUGGGAUUACAGUAAAGAAGCCAUUACAAAGAUUCCAACUGAUGAAUGAUGUCUGUUAUGAGAAGGUAAUGGCUGUGGCAGGAAAGCAUCAAGUUCUAAUUUUUGUCCACUCCAGGAAAGAAACAGCCAAAACAGCUCGUGCAAUUCGGGAUACUGCCCUUGCAAAUGACACUCUUGGAAGAUUCUUGAAAGAGGAUAGUGUUAGUCGUGAGAUUCUCCACAGCCAAACAGAAUUGAUCCGGAGCAAUGAUCUUAAAGACUUGUUGCCUUAUGGUUUUGCAAUUCAUCAUGCUGGAAUGGCGAGGGCUGACCGACAACUUGUCGAGGAGCUUUUUGGUGAUGGGCAUGUUCAAGUGUUGGUUUCCACAGCAACUCUUGCUUGGGGUGUCAAUUUGCCUGCUCACACCGUCAUAAUCAAAGGGACCCAGAUUUACAACCCAGAAAAAGGAGCAUGGACUGAACUGAGCCCUUUGGAUGUCAUGCAGAUGCUUGGUCGAGCUGGAAGACCUCAGUAUGAUUCUUACGGAGAAGGAAUAAUAAUCACGGGUCAUAGUGAAUUGCAGUAUUACCUUUCUUUGAUGAAUCAGCAGCUUCCAAUUGAAAGCCAAUUUGUGUCCAAACUGGCAGAUCAACUUAAUGCAGAAAUUGUUCUUGGAACUGUUCAAAAUGCUAGGGAAGCCUGCAACUGGAUUGGGUAUACAUAUUUGUAUGUUCGCAUGCUGAGGAAUCCUACUCUCUAUGGUCUAGCACCUGAUGUUCUGACGAGAGAUAUUACUUUGGAGGAGAGGAGAGCAGAUUUGAUUCAUUCUGCUGCAAUCAUCUUGGACAGAAAUAACCUGGUAAAAUAUGACAGGAAAAGUGGAUAUUUCCAGGUUACUGAUUUGGGUCGAAUUGCCAGCUUUUAUUACAUAACUCACGGGACGAUAUCUACAUAUAAUGAGCAUUUAAAGCCAACAAUGGGUGACAUUGAACUUUGUCGGCUGUUCUCUCUCAGUGAAGAAUUCAAGUAUGUGACUGUGAGACAAGAUGAGAAGAUGGAACUAGCGAAACUUUUGGAUCGUGUUCCCAUUCCCAUCAAAGAAAGCUUGGAGGAGCCUAGUGCCAAGAUCAAUGUCCUGCUUCAAGCAUAUAUUUCACAGCUAAAGCUUGAAGGGCUUUCACUGACAUCUGACAUGGUGUUUAUAACUCAGAGUGCGGGACGUCUUAUGCGAGCUCUUUUUGAGAUUGUCCUAAAAAGAGGGUGGGCACAGUUAGCUGAAAAGGCUUUGAACUUGUGCAAAAUGGUUACCAAAAGGAUGUGGAGUGUCCAGACCCCGCUCCGUCAAUUCCAUGGAAUUCCUAAUGAAAUUUUGAUAAAGAUGGAGAAGAAAGAUUUGUCCUGGGAAAGAUAUUAUGACCUGUCCUCGCAGGAAAUAGGAGAGCUCAUUCGAUUCCCCAAGAUGGGGAGAACACUGCACAAAUAUAUUCACCAGUUCCCAAAGCUGAACCUUGCAGCCCAUGUUCAGCCAAUUACUCGCACCGUUCUGAGGGUUGAACUGACAAUAACACCAGACUUUCAGUGGGAGGACAAGGUGCAUGGCUUUGUAGAGCCUUUUUGGAUUAUUGUGGAGGAUAAUGAUGGGGAAUAUAUUCUUUAUCAUGAAUAUUUUUUGCUAAAGAAACAGUAUAUUGAUGAGGACCAUACGCUGAAUUUCACUGUGCCAAUCUAUGAACCCCUGCCUCCCCAGUACUUUAUUCGAGUUGUCUCUGAUAGAUGGCUUGGAUCACAGUCUGUUUUACCUGUUUCUUUCAGGCAUCUUAUUUUACCUGAAAAGUAUCCUCCACCAACUGAGUUAUUGGAUUUGCAACCACUGCCUGUGACUGCAUUAAGAAAUCCAUCAUAUGAAGCGCUUUAUCAAGAAUUUAAGCACUUCAAUCCCGUCCAAACUCAGGUUUUCACUGUCUUGUACAACACAGAUGAUAAUGUCUUAGUUGCCGCGCCAACAGGUAGUGGGAAGACCAUAUGCGCUGAGUUUGCAAUAUUGAGGAAUCAUCAAAAAGGUCCUGAGAGUGUCAUGCGUGCUGUUUAUGUUGCUCCUAUUGAAGCCCUUGCAAAGGAACGAUAUCGUGAUUGGGAGAGGAAGUUUGGGAAGGGCCUUGGUAUGCGUGUGGUUGAGUUGACGGGGGAAACAGCUACAGACUUGAAACUCCUUGAGAAAGGUCAAGUGAUAAUUAGUACCCCUGAGAAAUGGGAUGCUUUAUCCCGCCGCUGGAAACAGCGGAAGCAUGUUCAGCAGGUCAGCCUUUUCAUUGUUGAUGAACUCCACUUGAUUGGGGGUCAAGGUGGUCCUGUCUUAGAGGUGGUAGUCUCUAGAAUGAGAUAUAUUGCAAGUCAGGGUGAUAACAAGAUUCGGAUUGUGGCUUUGUCAACUUCCCUUGCUAAUGCCAAGGAUCUUGGAGAGUGGAUCGGGGCUACUUCUCAUGGCCUUUUCAAUUUUCCUCCAGGAGUCCGCCCUGUUCCUUUGGAAAUACACAUUCAAGGGGUUGAUAUAGCUAAUUUUGAAGCGAGAAUGCAAGCAAUGACGAAGCCAACAUACACCGCAAUUGUGCAGCAUGCCAAGAAUGGAAAACCUGCUCUAGUGUUUGUUCCUACAAGGAGGCAUGUUGGGCUUACUGCUGUGGACCUGAUGACAUACUCUAAUGCAGAUAGUGGAGAGAAGCCACUAUUUCUAUCGAGGUCUCCAGAGGAACUGGAACCAUUUGUUAGCAAGAUAAAGGAUCGAAUACUAGCUGCAACACUAAGUCAUGGUGUAGGCUAUUUGCACGAAGGGUUAAACAGUAUGGAUCAAGAAGUUGUGACACAGCUUUUUGAAGCUGGGUGGAUACAGGUGUGUGUGAUGAGCAAUUCAAUGUGCUGGGGGGUGCCCUUGUCAGCACAUUUGGUGGUUGUAAUGGGAACACAAUAUUAUGAUGGUCGGGAGAAUGCUCACACUGAUUACCCAGUCACUGAUCUGUUGCAGAUGAUGGGUCAUGCCAGUCGGCCUUUACUAGAUAAUUCUGGGAAAUGUGUCAUCCUCUGCCAUGCACCUCGUAAAGAAUACUAUAAGAAGUUCUUGUAUGAAGCGUUCCCAGUUGAAAGCCAUUUGCAACACUUCCUACACGAUAACUUGAAUGCAGAAAUUGUUGUUGGAGUCAUCGAAAACAAGCAAGAUGCUGUGGAUUAUCUCACCUGGACAUUUAUGUACAGGCGGCUCACUCAAAAUCCAAACUACUACAAUCUUCAGGGGGUCAGUCACAGGCAUCUUUCUGAUCACCUAUCAGAGCUUGUAGAGAACACAUUGAGUGAUUUGGAAGCCAGCAAGUGUGUUACUAUUGAGGAUGACAUGGACCUCUCUCCUCUAAAUCUUGGCAUGAUUGCAUCGUAUUAUUAUAUCAGCUAUACAACUAUAGAGCGAUUUAGUUCAUCUUUGACUUCCAAAACAAGGAUGAAGGGCCUUCUAGAGAUUCUGGCUUCGGCAUCAGAAUAUGCACUUCUUCCAAUUCGACCUGGGGAGGAAGAGUCAAUACGGCGGUUGAUUAAUCACCAGAGAUUUUCCUUUGAGAGUUCCAAAUGCACUGAUCCACAUGUAAAGGCCAAUGCACUACUCCAGGCUCAUUUCUCACGCCAUUCAUUGGGUCAAAACCUAGCAUCUGACCAGCGAGAGGUGCUUUUUUCUGCAAGUCGAUUGCUUCAAGCAAUGGUUGAUGUUAUUUCCAGCAAUGGGUGGCUUAGCCUUGCUCUUCUUGCAAUGGAGCUGAGCCAAAUGGUGACACAAGGCAUGUGGGAACGUGAUUCAAUGCUUUUACAGCUUCCCCAUUUCACGAAGGAAUUGGCUAAGAAAUGCCAAGAAAACCCUGGGAAAAGCAUUGAGACUGUGUUUGAUUUGGUGGAGAUGGAGGAUGAUGAAAGGCGGGAGCUAUUGCAGAUGUCGGAUCCACAGCUGCUUGAUAUUGCUCGGUUUUGCAACCGUUUCCCGAACAUUGAUUUGGCAUAUGAUGUGCUGAAGAGUGAGAAUGUGAGGGCUGGGGAAUUAAUCACCCUCUCGGUCACCCUUGAACGGGAUCUUGUCGGGAGGUCUGAGGUUGGACCUGUUGAUGCUCCUAGGUACCCCAAAGCCAAAGAAGAAGGAUGGUGGCUUGUGGUUGGGGAUACCAAAAGUAACCAAUUGCUUGCCAUCAAAAGGGUUGCUCUGCAAAGGAAGUCGAAGGUCAAGCUUGAAUUUGCUGCUCCUGCAGAAGCUGGGAAGAAGCCAUAUACUCUCUAUUUUAUGUGUGAUUCAUAUCUGGGCUGUGAUCAGGAAUACAGCUUCACUGUUGAUGUCAGAGAAGCGGGAGGGCCUGAUUAUGACAGUGAACGGGAAUAGAGGGCACACAGUGGUUGUCUUGAUCAUUCUAAAAGGAUCCCUCAUAAUGGCGUUUGACCUGUUCGGAAUUUACUGAAGACAUCUUUGUUGAUCCCCAGGGUGGGGGGCAGGCAUUGGAGUACUUGUUUCUUGCACGGCCAGCGUAGAAAACACGAAGAUCCAAAAAUCAUGUGUUGUGUUGCGGUUCCUAACUAGUAGAACACAAGUUAUGUAUGUUUCUCAUUGAAAUAUUUUGUACUUGUGAAGAUGCCUUACUCGUAGCUGUGGGCAUGAAAUCCCAGGACAUCUAUUAUGUACAUAGUAACCAUGCUGCCGUUGCUGGAUGAAGCUUAGAUCAUAAUUUAACUCUGCUGGAUGAUGUUUAGAUCGUUUAUUGAACUUCACAUCACAAAAGUUGAUUACAUUA